rnacentral:rRNA from 1 species
GACGAACGCUGGCGGCGUGCUUAACACAUGCAAGCCGAACGGAAAGGCCCUGCUUUUGUGGGGUGCUCGAGUGGCGAACGGGUGAGUAACACGUGAGUAACCUGCCCUUGACUUUGGGAUAACUUCAGGAAACUGGGGCUAAUACCGGAUAGGAGCUCCUGCUGCAUGGUGGGGGUUGGAAAGUCUCGGCGGUUGGGGAUGGACUCGCGGCUUAUCAGCUUGUUGGUGGGGUAGUGGCUUACCAAGGCUUUGACGGGUAGCCGGCCUGAGAGGGUGACCGGCCACAUUGGGACUGAGAUACGGCCCAGACUCCUACGGGAGGCAGCAGUGGGGAAUAUUGCACAAUGGGCGGAAGCCUGAUGCAGCAACGCCGCGUGCGGGAUGACGGCCUUCGGGUUGUAAACCGCUUUCGCCUGUGACGAAGCGUGAGUGACGGUAAUGGGUAAAGAAGCACCGGCUAACUACGUG